ensembl:lncRNA
CGACUAUGCAUAGACCACAGGCUGAUAAAUUUCUCCUUCAUUCUCUUUGAAUGGGGCAAUUCCCACUCAGCUGGCUAUUUUCCCCAAAAUAGUAUAGGAGGGAUAUUUUUGACUGUCUUCCUUAUUAACUCAAAAAGUCCCUUCAGCCUCCUCCCUUAGGAAUUGAGUGAAAAGUUGGAUGUUGGAUGAAGAAUUUAUCUGAGAGGAAAUUUCUGGGGCUUGGGGAAUAUUCGACUGUGGAGUUCUGUUUCUGAGUUUCUCCGUGAACGCAGGAACAUCUUCACUGUUUUUUAGCGUAUGCUUUAUGCUUUCAAGUUUGGGGAACGUCCACGUCUUGGAUUUCAGCACAUAGUCACUUGUCAGUUGCCCACUUUGGUGAGAAGAUGAGUAGCAAUGAAUCAUCUCCUUCUUCUUUUUGGUGGAUAGCUGUAUAAUUUCUCCUGAAUUGGGCCUAUUGCUGAAAAGUCAGCUCACGUCCAUAUAUCAUCUCUCCUGUUUGGAAGCUGGACCAGAGAAGACAAUGGUAAAGAGCCUUGAGAUACUGUCACUACCCUACUCACGGAUGAGGAAAAUAACACUCAAGAGGCCAGAUUCACAACAAUGAGUAUUUCAAGUCUGUGUUGAAUGAUUCACUGUGCUUCACAUUGUUGACAAUGUAUUAGUCCUUCUAAGGGAACCGGCCACCCACAUCACUGACCAAUGAGAGAGAGGGACUGAACUGCUGUGAGUAAUACAACAGAUCUUUGCUCUACCAUCCAACCAAGAUUGAUCGAAUCAAGGAUGGGCACCUAACUCAAGGACAGAAAUUCAUCAACUACUUAGAAACCUUGGGCCUGAAGCAAAAAACAGAAGUGGGGUUUUUAUCAAAAAUUUACACAAUGAAAUUGUUGAAAAGUGCUUAGUUAGUGGUGGGGUCAGAAGCAGAAAGGAUGCCAAGAGCCAAGUUAAGAUGAAGACAAGCUAUUUGCAAGGAGAAGUUAUAAGGACGCAAAAAAUGUAAGUAGAGGACACUAGUCAAUAGAAUUACUGGGUUCACAGAGAGAAGCAGAAAUGCCAUUAUAAAGAGAAAGCAGGUGGCCCCUGGGAGUUAUAAGGAGGGUAACUGGCCCCUGAAGUUGCUAUGAUUUCCAAUGACUGCUAUUUUGGGAUAAUUCACUCUUAUUUUUAUAACUUGGGGUGUUUGAAGGAGAUCACUGUUCCUUGCAACUAAACAAGGUUGAUUAGGACUCUGUACUAUAAGAUGGAACAUUGGACACGGGAAAAACAAAUCACAGUGACAUUAACAAAGAUUUUUUGCAUUAAUGGUGGCUGGAAGCUCCUCCCCCAAUUACCUCUCACAAGGAAUAGAAUUGACAGCAGAGGCUGAAGUGAGCUAAGUACACAGGUGUGAUGAGGGGAAGCAGCCAGGAAAGACAGCCAUGUACAUAACUUGUGAGUUGCAACAACCUUUCAAACACUGCUUCCAGUGGUCCUAUGUGAUGAGAAUUAAUGUUCAAGAACAAGAUUCUACCAGAUCUUUACCUGGGAAAUGUACACCAGACUCUCUAUAAAGCAGAAAAUGAACAUAAAAAUGAUUUAAGCAAACAAGCUUUGGAGGGUAUCAUCCCAUCAGUAAUUCAGAAACACCAAACAUCCUAAAUGUCCACAGAACCCCCAAAUUCUGCUUUUCAAUGGAGUUUUACUGAAUGCACGUUAAGCUUGAAGCUGUGCCAAAAGAACAAACUGAAAUCACUCAGAGGGUGACAUUGUGGAAGGACAGAAGCAGACAUUCCAAAGGGACUCCGAUUCCCAAAGGCAUCGAUGCAUUAGGUUAUUAACCUCAGCUGAAUCAUUCAUAUGCCACAGUCCCUAUUCUAAGUUCUGUAAGGGGAAACCUUUCCGUUACAACUCAAUAUGUCUUUUACUUUUUUCUCCUUUCCAUUUACAGAUACUCACACCAGGGAAGAGUUAGUUGAAAAUGUCCUUGCUCCCCAGGCAUUUGCUAGGGAAAGAGGUGGGGGAGCAUUCGACAGCUGAGUGUUCGGCUAUAACUCAGAGACUGUCUGCGUGAAAUGUGGAUUGGUUACCUUGAGACUGGACCAGUCUCUAAACAGAAUUUCACUACAUUAAAAGAGCAAUGCAUUUGCCUGUGAAAGUCUAGACUAGAAAAUGACUCUCUGUGGCCAUGGCAUCAAAAAUACUAGAGAAAGAAAGGAAUAAAUGCUUUCUGAUGGAUUCAACACCUACAUGGCAAAUUUGCCAAAACCCUUUGUGUAACUUGAUCAUCAAGUUACAAUAAAAUCAGGAAAAGUAAUGAAAGAAAAAGCAUUCUUUUCCCAUAGUUUUUCCUCUAUUUUUCCAUAUAUAUUUUUUCAACAAUAUGUCUUUGCAGGUUCUGUUUUUAUACGUCUCUUUUUUAUGUACAUUUCCUUUAAGUAGUUCUAAGUACUUAAAUAUGUAGAUCCUAAAAUAAAACAAGGUCCGCAAAAUUGCAUUGCCACAUUCUCCACUAGAGUUGAGUUAAAGUUUAAUUAAAGUGAAUUACAAGCUUCCCAGUACUAGUUAUGUUGCUUUUCAUGGCAAAGUUCUUUUGGUACACACCUAAGUUUCAAAUAUACAGAGGUAAAAGCAUUCAGUAACCUGAUUCCAGGGAACAUCUCAUCAGGAAGAGAUCCACGCAGAAUCAUUUUGUCCACAUGAGCAGUGGGGGUAAGAUGGGGAAGUGGCAAUUAUCCUGCUUUAAGGGAAGUUUCAUUCACUAGAAAACAUUCUCCUCAUCAAGGAAUAAUGGAGGAAGGCCCAAAUAUUUCAGUGAUUCAACUUAAGAGGAGAAAACUCCCUUUGGGUGGAGAAAAACUAAGGGCUUUUAAUCCCCAAAUUUAUUUAAAGCUGAGAUAGCACCAGGGCUUAAAGUACACUGGAGUAGGGAAAAUAUGAGAACAUCAUUAGUGGAGAUAAUACUUUAUGAUUACCCUCAUUUUAUGCCCUUCUGACUUCUUCUAUUCUAUUAAGCUCUUUAAGAAGCAUGACAAUGAGGGGGGCAAACCCUCAAUAUCUAGUGGGGGCACACCCUCACUAUCUAGUUAGCACACAAACAAUUGCAGUAAUGGUAAUAAUAAUAACAGUAAGCUUAUUGAUUGAACUGACAGGCACUGAGCUAACUGUUCUACAUUUCAACCAUAUUCAAACCUCAGAAAAGUUCCACAAGAUAAGAAAGAUUACACCCCUUUUAAAGUUUUCAGUCUCAUUAUGACUUUACAUGAGUGUGAAGAGUAUAUGAAAUUGCUCACAUCAUCCCUAAUCUCAAAGAACAUAUAGUAUAAUAAGAAAAAGAUGUAUACAUAUAGGACAAUUAAAAAGUACAAUCAAGAAUAAAAUUCUGACACAUAAGACUUAAUUGGAGGACAAGAAAUAUGAAGAUGCUAUAGCUCUCCAUUAAUUCUUGAGUCUCCCAAACUCCAGCUCAGACUUCUUGGCAAGCGUGGGUCUGCACCCUGAUCAGCAGCACCGACCAACUAACUUAUCUUUUCCACAUCUCAUUAGAGAUAGUUAAUGAAUCGGAAGAUGCCUCUUCAGCAUCUUGUAUCAUUGCUUUCAGCAGCAUACACUAUCUGCAUUUCAUUAUACAUUUAUCAGAUGGUCGGUUUUAUUAUAUAUUAAUGUAUUUGAAGACCUCAAAUUCACCCUUUAAAAGUGAUCAUAUUUUUCCUUGCCAUGAGAUAGAUUAAUCAAAAGAAGAAUUGGUUUUACCUGAUGCUCUGAACGUCUCUUAUUUGGCUUUAAUGUUACUUAAUUGAUGCUCAAACAAAAAUACUUUAUACAUUUCAUUUCAGAGACUUUCAAACAUACAAUCUUGGAAUACUAAGAGCAUUACAGAUUUUCUAGCCCCCAAUUUUUAUUUUAUACAUUUGAAAUUGAUGACAGACUAAUAAAGGUCUAGAUCAUGAACCUAGGUCUCUUAAAUUACUGCUUUGUCCUCAAUUCAAUUCAAUCAAUAUUUUCUCAGAAUCUGUUAUAUGCUGGGCACUGUGCUAAGGGCUGAUAAUAUAGUGGUAAACAAGACACAGUCUAGUGGGAAAUAGAGACAUUUUUGUUAGUGUUUGUAUAUCAUUUAUCUAUACACAUUAUACAUAUUUAAGCUACUGUGUUGAUAAUAAGAUGGCAAUAUAGUCGUAAUAAUAAGGUCUCUCAUUUAAUGCAUGUCUCAGUGUGCCAGAUUCUGUGACAUUGAGUUUCUUAUUUUGCUUAAUUCUUGUAAUAACCAUGCAAAAUAUUUGUGACUGUCCCCAUUUUAUAUGUGAAGAAGUCAGGACUUGGCUCAAGCAAACUGCUCAUCAUCAGACAGCUAAUGGUUGGAAUGGAUGCAUAUCUAAUUCCAGAGUCUUAAUGCUGUCCACUGCAGUAUACUUCUGAGAUCUCUUUCUUAAUGCUAUAUUUCCAAACUUCUCAUGGAUAUUGAUAAAUGAAAAAAUAUACACUAGAUAUACGGUCAAAAUCAAAGACUUUCUUCAGCAAAUUAAAAAUUAUAACAAUAAAUAAAGAUUGCCUUUUGAGAUGUUCUGAUCACUUAGUCAAUUUUUGAAAGUGUAAGUGAUUUUAAAGUUGAGCUGGAGGAGUGAACAUGAAGUGAAUCUCAUGUUUUGCUUAAAGCAAAUACCAUCAUGUUAUGCAAAGAACGAGGACUUUGAAGUCACACAAACUUGGUUUUAAAUCUCAACUUUGUCUUUCUCUCAUUGUAUAGUCUGGGUGAUGCUUCUCAAAAUCUUGUACUGAACAUUUCCUCAUGCAUAAAAAUGUAGGUUAUGCCCCUUAUUCAAGAGGAUUGUGGUGUGAAUUGAAUGAGAUCAGGUAUGUAACGUGCCUAAUGCAAUGGCAGAUGUAGUGGGUAUUUAAUAAAUGCUCAUUCCCUGAAUGGGAUCAAUGCACAAAAUAAGGGACUAUUGAAGAUACUUUGCACUGGAAGGAAUGCUGUCAAAGGUGGUAGGAGAAAUAUCUUCUCAAUAACAAUCUUGUUCCCCAGAAGAACUAUGGGCAUAAGAGGAACAAGGUGUGGUAGAGCUAAAUUCCCUUUUGGAUGAAACCAUUUGCAUCCUUCUAACUAGGAAAGGAAAGGCCUAUUCUCCCUUUUAAAAGUAGCAGAAGAGGAGAUGGAGUAGUUUUAAACGUGACAGAGGAUCUUUCCCAGCAUCCUUGAAAUUAUCUGCCUAUAUGUCUCAUCUCCACCUCAUUCUCCAACAUAAGGCUGGCCUGAUACAGGUGUGGAAACAGCACAGGCUAUAUCCAGGCUACUUGGGGGCUGGAAAGAAGCCACAGCAAUAUCCAUGGUGCAGGAUGUCUUUUUGCAGAGGAUCUUCUCUCUUGGAAGCAAAGGUAAGUCCACAUUAGUAGAACAGAGGGUAGUUAUCUCACUCACUGCUCAUAGGCAAAUCAGCAUCCUCUGCUUCCAGAAUCCCAGCAUAUCUGUACUUCAAACACUUAGGCGGCUACAGAGCUGUUCUUUUACAAGAUGGGCAUUUACACUUAAAAACAAGGAAAGGAGAUAUAUGAAGGAUAAAUUGAGAUUCCCCUGGGUGUUCACACAGCAUCUCCUUACUUCAGGGUUUUCAUUCUCAUGGAAAAUUGGCAACAUUUUCAAGAGUGACCAUUUACCAAGGACGUUUUAUGAGUCAGACAUGUAUUAUUCCUGAUGCGUACAUCAAUCUGCAGAAAUAGACAUUAUUUUAGAUGAGAAAAUUGAAUCUCAAAGAAGGUAAAUAAACUGCUCGAGUAACAAAACUAAUAAAUGAGAGAGCUGAAUUUGGUACUCAAGUCUAUAUGAAGCCUAUGCCUAGUCAACCUAGAUUCCUCAUCAGGCUAGAAGUGAAGAUACUUGAUAGAUUCCACCUCCAGAGCCCAAUACACUUGAAGUGAAUUCUUGCAGAUUAAUUUCAUCACCUGUGAGAACAGUGAAUGCCAGACAAUGGAGAUGAGUUCAGCAGAAGCAAGAAGCUGAACCAUGAGUCCCACUCAUAUUACCGAAUGCUAAAUAUCAAGGCAUUUUUGAAUCACUAUCUAUUCCAGUAAUAACAGAGAUCCUCACAGGCAUAUUAAAACAGAAUUCACAGACACCUCUGAUGGAAUACAAAAGUAAAACUAGAGGUUAGAAGAUGCAUUUUCCAGGUUAAAAAAUGCAUUUGUUUUGAAACACCCUGUUAAUAAAAAUGUCCAUUGUCGCAAGAGUCCCUUCGUAGUCAUACCCAAUAUGACUGAAAGAAGUUUGGAGACCAAAGGCAACAUCUUUAAAUAUUUAAAGAUUAAAAUGAAAAUUAAAAAUAGAUUUCCUUUCAAUGAAAGGUUUUAAAUUGAGCCCGUAAACUAUGUUUGAUUUUUAAAGCUAGCAGGAAUGCAUGUUAAGUAUUAAAGAUGUUUAACGUGAAAGUGUGUAUUCAAUAAAAAAUAAAUGAUUCAUUUUUAUAUAUGGUUUCCAAUUUAUUUUGUUGGACCCAACCUCCCAUUGGAAAUGCAGGAAAACAUCCUUAA